GAAAGUUAAUCUUUAGACGCCAUCGAAUCAACAACGUCGGUCCACAUUUACAACCUUUCUUGGUGGAUUCAACUAAAAGAGUACGAAGAGGCGAAGUAUCAAGUGUCCAAAGGUGUUGGAUAGGCAGUCUCGGUUGUAUCUCUGGAGAACAGAUUUACAGGGCUGCAGCAGGACAAUCAGAUCACAAGUAGUCCAUUGCGAAGAAAACGAUUCCUCCCCCGUCGUCAAACUAUCAGACCAACCCGAUUUCUGGCAACAGCUCAUUGACGACUCAUAGUCAUUGCUGGGUAAAAUUCGUAAAAAGAUAGGUCGUAAAAAUCAUUUUCCCUUUAAACUACAGACGAAAUAUCACACGUCACGAUGCGACUUCAUUUUCAGAUAGGAAAUUAUCGCACAAAUAUUAGACACCGAUAAGGAAUACGUGACUUCUCUAUAUCAACUCCCUUUCUUAAGAAGUAAUUAUUGAAAUUGUGAACACAAAAAGUUGAAAAAUUAAAGAAAAAGGAGAAAAUAAAAGUAUGAAUUUAAUUGUGCAAAUUAGUUUACCACAAAAUGCAGGAAUUGUUACUGAACAGAAGGGCAGAUUAGAGCA